rnacentral:tRNA from 1 species
CGGGAUGUAGCUCAGCCUGGUCAGAGCGCCGCGUUUGGGACGCGGAGGCCGCCGGUUCGAAUCCGGCCGUCCCGA